rnacentral:rRNA from 1 species
CCUACGGGAGGCAGCAGUGGGGAAUAUUGGACAAUGGGGGCAACCCUGAUCCAGCCAUGCCGCGUGUGUGAAGAAGGCCCCCGGGUUGUAAAGCACUUUCAGUGAGGAAGAACGCCUGGUGGUUAAUACCCAUCAGGAAAGACAUCACUCACAGAAGAAGCACCGGCUAACUCCGUGCCAGCAGCCGCGGUAAUACGGAGGGUGCGAGCGUUAAUCGGAAUUACUGGGCGUAAAGCGCGCGUAGGUGGCUUGAUAAGCCGGUUGUGAAAGCCCCGGGCUCAACCUGGGAACGGCAUCCGGAACUGUCAAGCUAGAGUGCAGGAGAGGAAGGUAGAAUUCCCGGUGUAGCGGUGAAAUGCGUAGAGAUCGGGAGGAAUACCAGUGGCGAAGGCGGCCUUCUGGACUGACACUGACACUGAGGUGCGAAAGCGUGGGUAGCAAACAGGAUUAGAUACCCUGGUAGUC